rnacentral:tRNA from 1 species
AGCCCAAUAGUUCAACUGGAAGAACAUCAGUUUCUGAAUCUGAAUGUUGCAGGUUCGAAUCCUGCUUGGGUUGUCA